GACAGAGGAUGCAAGCGUUUAUCCGGAAUGAUUGGGCGUAAAGCGUCUGUAGGUGGCUUUUUAAGUCCGCCGUCAACCAUGGCCGGUCAACCCUGGACAGGCGGUGGAAACUACCAAGCUGGAGUACGGUAGGGGCAGAGGGAAUUUCCGGUGGAGCGGUGAAAUGCGUAGAGAUCGGAAAGAACACCAACGGCGAAAAGCAACUAUGCUGGGCCGACACUGACACUGGAGAGACGAAAGCUAGGGGGAGCGAAUGGGG
rnacentral:rRNA from 1 species